GAAAACAGCAACUGGCACUUCGGCAUCUUGUUAAUAGGUUAGUUCCAGAAAAUGCACGAAUAUGAUAUAAAGUGUGCAUAAAACAUGUAGAUAUCAUCAAUAAUGUGGCAUGGAACAUAAGAAAUUAUCGAUACGUCGAAGACGUAUCACUGACCCACCGAUGCCUCUUCUUAUCCAUUUUAAUAUUAACAUUAGGGUGAGCCAUGAAUAUC